rnacentral:rRNA from 1 species
UACGUAGGGUGCGAGCGUUGUCCGGAAUUAUUGGGCGUAAAGAGCUUGUAGGCGGUCUGUCGCGUCUGCUGUGAAAAUCCGGGGCUCAACCCCGGACUUGCAGUGGGUACGGGCAGACUAGAGUGUGGUAGGGGAGACUGGAAUUCCUGGUGUAGCGGUAAAAUGCGCAGAUAUCAGGAGGAACACCGAUGGCGAAGGCAGGUCUCUGGGCCACUACUGACGCUGAGAAGCGAAAGCAUGGGGAGCGAACAGG